CCCACCUGCAUGUGUCCCCCUCCACACCGCUGUGAGACCAUCCAUCGACACAGGAUUUUACAGACGAGAGCUACAGGCUGUAACAGGCUGUAAGCUCCACAUCGAGCGACUAUACAUCGCUCACUCGGCCGGUAUUUCGCACCUCGUCUCUGAAGAAAGAGAAGAAGAAAGGAGGGAUGCGCGAAGGGUCCUUGAACGCCACAAAUAACUUCACGAGGCUGUCCGAAAGAGGACUCUCCUGUUGAUUCAGCUCUGAUCUUCUCCUCACCUCACCCGGCACAUUUCAGGAAUAUUUCUGGAGCACACCUCUCACAUCUAUAUGGCAAAGUUCCUGGCUGAAUUACUGGGAUGCACACUUCCAGACAAGGGCACUCCACCUUUGUUCGAGUGCCGGAGCCAACCCCAUCUUGGGCUGAGGCCUUCCUCCAAACAGCGGGUCUGCUGAAACCGCAGGAGUGCUACUGACACGGAGAGCCAGGAGAGGAUUCUUUAAUAGGUGUGCCAAGUAAACAGUUGGGGUAGAUGUUACUGGCCUGAACCUGCUACCAUGUAGGGCCUCCAUUGCGUCAACUGCUUAAGGAUAAGUCCUGUUUUUUUUAUCGUCAACAAACACAUGAAAAGACUAAAACCAAAUGUGAUUUGAGCUCCAUUGUCGUGCAAAAACGCAUCAGUGAGCCACACUGUUGCACUGGCUAACAUGUUCCUUCGUUACCAUAAACACACACACAGUGUAGUUUAUUUUGACUCAAUCCUACAUACACUGUCUUGCUGCCAUAAAUACUAAGCCUACUAAAGCGCCAAAUGUGUAUUAAUCCACCAUUGAAAAUAGCCUCAAAAAAUGCAUGAUAUAUUCCUGUUUGGAUGCUGUUUGAUUAGGACUACAGUGCCUAGCUGUUUUGGGGAAAUUAUGUAGACAUUUUUAAGAAAUAAAAGUAUAAAUUUGUGA